CCUACGGGAGGCAGCAGUGGGGAAUAUUGCACAAUGGGGGAAACCCUGAUGCAGCGACGCCGCGUGAGCGAUGAAGUAUUUCGGUAUGUAAAGCUCUAUCAGCAGGGAAGAAAAUGACGGUACCUGACUAAGAAGCCCCGGAUAACUACGUGCCAGCAGCCGCGGGAAUACGUAGGGGGCAAGCGUUAUCCGGAUUGACUGGGUGUAAAGGGAGCGUAGACGGUCCUGCAAGCCAGAUGUGAAAGCCUGGGGCUCAACCCCGGGACUGCAUUUGGAACUGUAAGGCUAGAGUGUCGGAGAGGCAGGCGGAAUUCCUAGUGUAGCGGUGAAAUGCGUAGAUAUUAGGAGGAACACCAGUGGCGAAGGCGGCCUGCUGGACGAUGACUGACGUUGAGGCUCGAAAGCGUGGGGAGCAAACAGGAUUAGAUACCCCUGUAGUC
rnacentral:rRNA from 1 species